GCCUUUAGCCCAAGACCGGAAGUCAUUUCCCCGAUCUGCCGCUCCCUCCCCCCAUCAUACUCUGAAUUUUGACAUAUUUCUGUCUCCGCUAAGAGCAAGAACCAUUUUCAUCAUUUCUCUGGGAGAUUUGCUGGAGUCCGGAAGAGAUGCUCAGACCUCGAUGCCAAAGGCCUGGAGCUCCAGAGAUGGGCUCCAGCUUUUGGGUUAAGAGCCACCUAGGUCUCUAAGAAGAUGCCACACAUUAUAAGACCGGUGUUCUUUCUCCUUUUGAUGUUCAGGAAAGUUGAAGGUACCAGUCUGCUUUGCUGGCCUCGCAGAGGAACCUUCCCUCUAAAUGAGGAGGGAAGGCCUCAUUCUAGUAAAAUGAGUGCUGACAGUCAGCACCUCCAAGACAAAGUAAUUCAGGGAAAUGUUCAAAAGGAUUCAUCCAUUUACUCUCCUGGGGGAGGGAUCAUUCAAUAGCUCCAGAGGAGGCUGAGGUCUGGCAGAUCCUCGAGGCCUGGUGGAACGCUGAGGUCUGGCAGGCCCAAAGUGGCCAAGAAAUAUUGUUCCUGUAAAGUCUGGCUUCUUUGCUUCUCGGAGGAGGAGUCUUUUGAGAAGUCCCCUUUUCCUGUGGAGCUCCAGGAGAAUCUGACUGGCCAGUAUCUACCCCAAAUGAUCUCUGCUCUGAGGCAGGGGGAGGGACGUGUGGUCUAGGAAAGGCUCUGGGGUGCCCAUCAGGGGCCAUUCCCAUGAAUCCUUGAAGAAAGGAAAUGUGUACAAUAAAACCCCUCAGAGUAUACUUGAAAAUCCUUGC
rnacentral:lncRNA from 1 species